rnacentral:rRNA from 1 species
UACGUAGGGUGCAAGCGUUGUCCGGAAUUAUUGGGCGUAAAGAGCUCGUAGGCGGUCUGUCGCGUCUGCUGUGAAAACUCAGGGCUUAACCCUGAGCUUGCAGUGGGUACGGGCAGACUAGAGUGCGGUAGGGGAGACUGGAAUUCCUGGUGUAGCGGUGAAAUGCGCAGAUAUCAGGAGGAACACCGGUGGCGAAGGCGGGUCUCUGGGCCGUAACUGGACGCUGGAGGAAGCGAAAGCAUGGGGAGCGAACAGG